AUGGUGCGGCUUAGGUCAACUAAUACGAAUAAGAUACAGUUCACUCAACGAUUGCCCUUGGGUCCCGAACUCCAUAUGGGGAAGGAACAUUGUUGUUUGCGAGGUCUCGAUCAUUUACAUGGACCCACUUCUCAUUCCAUUUGUGGGAAUUUGAUGAUUUAUAAACCGUCCCCAACGAGCGAAAGGUUCAUGUUUGAACAUGAUGAAUCACUUCGUGCCGACCUGUUGCCCAUAAACUUUCCUGCCUCAUAUGAGAAUGGAAAACUGGAAGAUUUUCUGCAUCGGUGGAUGAAGAAUCACGAACAUAAGAAUUUCUGGUUUAGCAUGUUCCCAGAAAGAAGAUACUUCUUUUCCAUUCAAGAAACGAGGAGCACGACUGAAGUGGCUAUACAUACAAAUCCAUUUACGGAUCUAUAUGCUCCGAUUGGAACUGAAAGUUCCAGAACUGGCGAAGUUCACUGA
rnacentral:rRNA from 1 species